UCUUAUGCAUGAGCAAAGAAUGUGGUUUCCUGAGAUGGAAUCUACCCCCAGUGAAGAUGCUGUGAA
rnacentral:pre_miRNA from 1 species